rnacentral:rRNA from 1 species
GACGAACGCUGGCGGCGUGCUUAACACAUGCAAGUCGAACGGAAAGGCCCUGCUUUUGUGGGGUGCUCGAGUGGCGAACGGGUGAGUAACACGUGAGUAACCUGCCCUUGACUUUGGGAUAACUUCAGGAAACUGGGGCUAAUACCGGAUAGGAGCUCCUGCUGCAUGGUGGGGGUUGGAAAGUUUCGGCGGUUGGGGAUGGACUCGCGGCCUAUCAGCUUGUUGGUGGGGUAGUGGCUUACCAAGGCUUUGACGGGUAGCCGGCCUGAGAGGGUGACCGGCCACAUUGGGACUGAGAUAAGGCCCAGACUCCUACGGGAGGCAGCAGUGGGGAAGAGUGCACAAUGGGCGGAAGCCUGAUGCAGCAACGCCGCGUGCGGGAUGACGGCCUUCGGGUUGUAAACCGCUUUCGCCUGAGACGAAGCGUGAGUGACGGUAAUGGGUAAAGAAGCACCGGCUAACUACGUG